rnacentral:rRNA from 1 species
UACGUAUGGGGCAAGCGUUAUCCGGAAUUAUUGGGCGUAAAGAGUGCGUAGGUGGUUAUCUAAGCGCAAGGUUUAAUCUAUCGGCUUAACUGGUAUAUGCCUUGCGAACUGGACUACUUGAGUGCAGGAGGGGAAAGCGGAAUUCCUAGUGUAGCGGUGAAAUGCGUAGAUAUUAGGAGGAACACCGGCGGCGAAGGCGGCUUUCUGGACUGUAACUGACACUGAGGCACGAAAGCGUGGGGAGCAAACA